GACGAACGCUGGCGGCGUGCUUAACACAUGCAAGUCGAACGGUGAAGCCCUUCGGGGUGGAUCAGUGGCGAACGGGUGAGUAACACGUGAGCAACCUGCCCCUGGCUCUGGGACAACCACUGGAAACGGUGGCUAAUACCGUAUACGACCCGCCUCGGCAUCGAGUGUGGGUGGAAAGUUUUUCGGCUGGGGAUGGGCUCGCGGCCGAUCAGCUUGUUGGUGAGGUGAAGGCUCACCAAGGCGACGACGGGUAGCCGGCCUGAGAGGGCGACCGGCCACACUGGGACUGAGACACGGCCCAGACUCCUACGGGAGGCAGCAGUGGGGAAUAUUGCACAAUGGGCGCAAGCCUGAUGCAGCGACGCCGCGUGAGGGAUGACGGCCUUCGGGUUGUAAACCUCUUUCAGCUCCGAAGAAGCGAAAGUGACGGUAGGAGCAGAAGAAGCACCGGCUAACUACGUG
rnacentral:rRNA from 1 species